CCUACGGGAGGCAGCAGUGGGGAAUAUUGCACAAUGGGGGGAACCCUGAUGCAGCGACGCCGCGUGAGUGAAGAAGUAUUUCUGUAUGUAAAGCUCUAUCAGCAGGGAAGAAAAUGACGGUACCUGACUAAGCAGCCCCGUCUAACUACGUUCCAGCCGCCGCGGUCAUACGUAGGGGGCAAGCGUUAUCCGGAUUUAUUGGGUUUAACGGGUGCGCAGUCGGAAGAUCAAGUCAGCGAUAAAAUUGAGAGGCUCAACCUCUUCGAGCCGUUGAAACUGGUUUUCUUGAGUGAGUGAGAAGUAUGCGGAAUGCGUGGUGUAGCGGUGAAAUGCAUAGAUAUCACGCAGAACUCCGAUUGCGAAGGCAGCAUACCGGCGCGCAACUGACGCUCAUGCACGAAAGUGUGGGUAUCGAACAGGAUUAGAUACCCUAGUAGUC
rnacentral:rRNA from 1 species